rnacentral:ncRNA from 2 species
CUGCAAUAGCAAGCGCCAGAGCUUGAUCUUGCGCGGGGGAGAAGGGAAAGCCUGCAAGAUGCCAAUCAGGGCAAGGCUUGAACGGAUCACGGCAGAUGUAAGCUGACGAGGUGGAGGCGUUCGAAAUGUUCGGCGGGGACCUCCCGGUGAUGCACCAGAGCCGUAAAUGGAAGCGGAAAAUGAGCGGGCGACCACUCUUACAACGCGACUAUGGGUGCAAAU